AGAGACACCAAGAGACAGGAAAUGUGGAGAGACUGGAGAGACUCAGUGGAGGAGAGAUAAGGAGGAGACCAGCAGAGGCACGUGGACCACAGUGGUUUGGGCAUGGAGGACAUGGUGGCUUGGACUGGACUCUGAGCCAAAAGGGUCACAGGAGCGGGAAGUAUAUGGAGUUUGCAGGAGGAGCAGCUACAGCAGGCUCUUACACACAGACUGCUAACGAGCUGGUCAGCUGGAAGUGGGGCCAGAGAAGGGCCCAAAGAAGGGCUUCCUCUGCUUGGGGAAGUCUGGGAAGGCUUCCCAGAGGAGGUGGCAGCACUAACUGGAGUCUCGCCACCGGAAAGGUGAGUUCACCUCCUGGACAAAGAGGAUCAUAUCCAUCACUCUGCUAUACCAGUUGUGUCUACACUGCCUGUUGGCACUGGGGCCUGUGGAUCACAGGACUGCCCACUACUUCUGACAGAUGUGGAAAAUAAUGGGCCCUGACCCACACAGAUCCAACCAGCCUGGCGCCUCCUUGAAAGCACAGAUGUUGUCAAAGGUAGCUGUGAGCCCCGCCCCAGCACACAGCAAACGUGGGAUACCUGCUCACAAAAUUCAUCUGAGUCUAGGCUGAAUACAGGAGGCCGGCAAAGGCUGACGCUGAGUUUAACAGCUAAUUUUCGUGCAGUGCCUUGCAGUUUUCAAUGCACUUCUUCAAACAUUUAAUUGAACCUUCACAACACUGCGCUAGGCAGAGCAGGUAUCAAUGCCUCCACUUUACAGACAAGGACACUGAGGCCCAAGGUCCCAUAGCUAGAAGUAGUGGAGCCCGGACACCUGACUGCCCAGCUCUCCGCCAAAUGAGUGGCCUUCAUGACCUCAUGCAGAGGCCAGCAAGGCCGCUGGAUCCCUUCCCCAUCAUCUGUGUGCUUUCGGCUCUCUGGGCGGGAAGGGGAAGUGAAGAUGGUUGCGGUAGAGGAAGAAGACCAAGAAAGGAAUCUCCAGGAGAAAGGUGGGCUCAGUUUCCCUUCCUGGAGGACCAGAGGUACCCAAACACAACCCUGGGUGGAAAUGGUGUCCAGAUGCCCCACCAGGGAGAAGCCAUCAUGGAAAACCUGGAGGGGGGAAGAGGGGACUUAGGACAGAGUGGAAAACUGGAGCCAUUUAGCCUCUUAAGCCUCCUCCUCUUCCUCCCUCCACCCCUUGGACUGAAAACUGAAUGCCCACCUCUGUGACUUGGGGAUAACGUCUACGCUUCCUUUAAGGGAGGCAGUGCCAACCAUUCUGCUCAUGGACUCUGGCCAAGAGAGAUCUGCAUCCAAGCCCUGGCUCCACCGUACACGAAGUGACCUUGAGUAAGUCACUUUACCUCUUUGAAUCUCCAUUUCUUCCUCUGCAGAACUGGAACAGCCCCAAACUUACUCACAGGGCUGCUGUGAAGAGCACACGCGACAAUGAGCAUGAAGUACUCAGCACACUGCCUGGCACCCAGUGGGCCUGGCUGAACAUUAACUAUUGCUAUUAUUAUUGAUCUCUCCCCAGGCAGCUCCUGGUCAUUUGCCUGAUAUCACUGCCUGGCUAACCAAACCCUCUUUCAGCCUACACACACCCCCCUCUUUUCUCCUCAAGCCUAAGAACUCAGUCUGUUAAUGAAGCUGAACUCUCCUCCCCCAUCCCCCAUUCAGAAGUCAUUAGCAAGAUCUCUGCAAUUAGGAACAAAUGGCUUAUAACGGAUGGCAUCCAGGGGGUGGGGUGGGAAGGCGGGAAUGGAGCUGUAGCUUUGAGGGCAAUAUGGAGCUGCUACGGAAAGCAAGUCUUGGGGCAACGGAGUUUCUGGUCUCCAGGAGGGGACCAUACCGCCAUUUCUAUUUCUGAGAAUUCGGGGUUGGGGGGAGGGGAUAGGAGAAGGAUCAUCCUCUCUGGGCGAGCCAGGUGCAGGGCUGUGUGCCAGUCCUUUCGCCAGGCCGGAGGACUCGGGUCCGUGUGUGCGGGAGGGCAGGGCUGUGCCAAUCGGGACACAGCUCGCAGGGCGGUUCCGAAUGAGCAGCAGCAGCACACAGACCACAGCCCUGGCGAGCUGCAAGUGUGGGAGGGCAUCUGGUCCAGUGUUUUUCAAACUGCUGGUCUGAAAACCUGUAUGGUGGGUCAUACAGUCCAUUUUUUUUUUUUUUUUGAGACAGA